UACGAAGGGGGCUAGCGUUGCUCGGAAUCACUGGGCGUAAAGGGUGCGUAGGCGGGUCUUUUAAGUCAGGGGUGAAAUCCUGGAGCUCAACUCCAGAACUGCCUUUGAUACUGAGGAUCUUGAGUUCGGGAGAGGUGAGUGGAACUGCGAGUGUAGAGGUGAAAUUCGUAGAUAUUCGCAAGAACACCAGUGGCGAAGGCGGCUCACUGGCCCGAUACUGACGCUGAGGCACGAAAAGCGUGGGGGAGCAAACAGGGAUUAGAAAACCCUGGUAACGUC
rnacentral:rRNA from 1 species